AGCUUAGGUAACAAACCCAUGGG
rnacentral:tRNA from 1 species